CACACACAUGUAAAUGGGUCCCGGAUGCUCUAACAAGCAUAAACUCACAUUUUUUUUCAACAAGCAUCUUAUUCCUGUCACAUCCCAUGUGCUAAUCGGCCUAUUUGUGAAUUAUGAAUGGGAUUUAAACCCAAACCCAUGUGGUUAUGAGGAAGAAAUACAACUGAGACAUACCGUAUAUGCUGUUCCUAAACAUAUUUAUACCAGAGUGCUGUUGCAUUAUCAUAUCUGAUUGGUCAGAAGGUGUGACAGCAGCUCUGACAGUAGCGCAGCUGCAAAUCGCAGGUUUUUUUUAUUAAUGCGCUCGUUCCGAUACGUUAUCGUUCCUGCGUGUAAACAGCUUCAAAACGCGUGUAAUUGUUGAUAUGGUGAGGUUUUCUGUAAGGAGAUUAAAGUUUAUUUAAUAUGUACGGAAGGAGUCUCCAGCGUCAGCGCUUUGUAACAGUCUGAGGUACAGCUGUAGCUUUACGUUCUGCGGCGUCUUCAGGACAGAGGAGGUUACGUUUUUGUGGUCUCUUUGAUGCUACUUUUUUUUUCGACAAGAGAAAGAGAAAAAAAUCGAGGCUGAAGCGGGAACGAUGACCGUAGCCGAUGAGAUAAAAUGUGGUGGAAAAGUGCCCUCGAGACCAAAAUUCACCGAUAUGAUCUGGCUGAUGAAACCCUGCAGCUGAAGCUCAGCUUACCUGUCCAGACCACACCAUACCAUCCAGACUGGGCACAAACCAAAUGUACUCCUCAACCCUGUCAAAUAUUUGUGUUGUCAAGGCAACGUGAGGCCUGUCCUUGUGGUAUUUCCUGCUGUGAAGAGAAAUGGAAGUGCACAGGAUGAACAGUAGAAGGCGGUUACAGACAGAUAGACAGACGUUCAUACGGACAGGGAGACGGAGUUACAGAUGGACGAACAGACAGACGUAUGUACAGACAGACGGGUGGACAGACAGACAUAGAGAAAGUCAUACGGACGGAUGGACGAGCGAAGCAUCAGACAGAGUGUUGGACAGAGAUACAGAUGGAUGGACAGAUGGAGGGAUGGAUGUAUUUUAUUGGUGCUCAGAAAGAAGUUUGGGACUUUGUCGCUUCGGCUUUAUAACUACUAAAUUCGUAACAAAAUCACACAGCCCUAUUUUUAUAAAAAUGUAACAGAAAAAUGAAGGGUAGGGUUAGGGGGCGGAGCUAUCUCUCCAUAGUGUUGGCGCUGGAGUUAUAGCGUUUAUGCCAGCAGAAGUUUUGGGCAUUGACUUGUUCUAUAUUGGACACUAACAAGCACUGCUAUUGUUUUGUGGGUAGCAGCUUCCACAGCUACACAACCAGCUACAGAACCACUGCACAAUGACCACAAAUUAUUCUUACUGCUAAAAAUAAACAAUAAACUUAAAUAAACAUUGUUUAGGAAAGUGCAGUGCAUGAUGGUCUACUUGUGGAAGAAAGAGGCAAACACGAUGUUUGGUCUUCCUGAUUAUCGGCUUCUAUUUGGAGUGUAAAUGCCUUUGGGUAAAUCAAACACUUCAUGCCCCAAACCCA